CUGGUCAGCUGUCUGGUCUGCACAACCUUGGUUCAGAAGUCCAGAGACCUGGGUUUAUUUUUGGGGAAGUCCUUCCUCUGUUUUCUGCCAGGACCUCAGCCUUGGUUGCCCCGAAAACGACCCAUUCACAUUUUCCUUUCUCAUUUUCAGAGCAGUACAAGUGCUUUGAACGUUUGGGGAGAGUGAUAUGAAGGAAGGCCGGAGCCAUCGCUACGUGGGAUACGUGACAGAGUCAGGACCUGUCUCCUGAUGCCCAGACGCCCAGGGCGGCCAGAGUCUGGAGGUCGGUGCAGCUCACUUGAGUUCCUGGGACAGCCCUUCGGCCACCGCUGCCCAAGGGGCGAGCCUGUGCCUGCCGCUCAGCCUGGUUCCCCCUGCGGCUCUGUUCUUCCCAGACGUGCUCAGAGCUGGCCUCCCUCCUUCCUUCCCAGCUUUGCUUUUGUAGAUCUGGGCUCCCUGCAGGAAGUGGCACUGGCCGGCCGGGAGCCGAGCGGGAAGCCCUUCCACGGACGGAAGCUGAUGUGAAUUUGAACGCAGGUUCUCCCAAGAGGACUGCUGACGAGAGGCCCCGGGAGCUGCCGACUCCGGCGCUUUGGGGCGGUGGCCGUCAGGUUGUCCUCAGUGGCCUGCCUGGUCGAAGCAUCUGCGUUCCCCGUGUCCCACCUCUUUCCCUGACGACCUCCGCUCCGGGCUCGCUGUCGCUGUCCCGUGGCCGCUCACAUUCAGUGUCCGUGUGGAUGAACUGCCCUUAUUUUGUAGCCCACUGUCCCUCUCGCCAUCCUGCCUUCCCCUGGGCCAGCUUCCCGUCCCCCUUGCUGUGUCCCAGCCCCCGUCGCUGGCACCGUGGACUGUCUGCAUCUCGAGGUGCCCCCCGCGCCCGCGCCUCUCUCCCUCCUCAGACCCGAGCAGCAGCAGAAGAGCUCGUGGGCAGCUUCUGAGCGCCGUCUGGAGAGACGUGGUCGAGCGGGUCCAGGGCACGGCCUGAGAACUUGCCCGGCCCAGUGGGACCUCACUUAGCGAAGCAGGCUCUGGAGCCCCCAGGCCCGCGGGGAGACACCUUGGGCCCUGAGUCCGCCACCCCCACCCUUUCGUCCCUCCUCGACACCGUCAACCUGCUCAGUCCCCUGUUAGCUCAGGUGCCGUCGCCGUAACUACCUUAGUUCAAACACCCUUAACUACUUUGCUGCACGAGGGCCUGUCUUGCAAAACCCAGCGCUCUGCCUGCUCCGAAGCUGCCCUCUGAGCUCCUGAAGACAUUCCCACGGCCUUGCCACGUGGUCUUGGCCUGUGCCUGGGCACAGCUUGCCCACUCGUCCAAACUGGCCUGGCUUGGGCUUCCAGGCUCUCAGGGAGGAUCUCAGGGUGCUUACCAAGGUCUCCCCACUCUGGCUGGGUUGGAACUGCAUUGUGUCCCCAGCACGACAGCAGCCCUCCCCUGCAGGACCUGUCAGGACGUGCCCCGGACAGGGGCUGCUCGGGGUUUGGCCAAGGACCUGAGGUGAGCCCCUGGACUUCUGGGACCCUUCUGUGGUUCCUUCCUGUCUGGUACCCCGUCCCACAGAUUUCUGGCGCCCAAACUCUUAUCUGUGUCUCUUCUGCCCACUCCGCUUCCCUUUUCUGUGGUUUGGAAAAGUGCCCCCAGGCAACAGGCCAGCCUGAAUGUGGCACUCACCUAGCACACUUCUUUUUUUUUUUUUAAGAUUUUAUUUAUUUAUUUGACAGAGGGAGACACAGCCAGCGAGAGAGAGAACACAGGCAGGGGGAACGGGAGAGGAAGAAGCAGGCUCCUAGCGGAGGAGCCUGAUGUGGGGCUCGAUCCCAGAACGCCGGGAUCACGCCCUGAGCUGAACGCAGACGCUUAAUGACAGCCACCCAGGCGCCCCAUACACUUUUCUUUCCUCAGACAUGUUGCCCGCUCUGCCCACUGGCGUCUCUGUGCCAGAGACGGUUACUUCCUACAUCGUGUCCAGGUUUGGAGUUGUUUGGGGUGGAGAGUAGGCUCUGCCAUGCCGGAGUCGGGCGGCGGGCACCCGCGUCGUGGGGCUGGCCUGGCUCCUGUGCGGGAAGGACGCGGGUUCCCAGGACACUCCAAAUGCCUUGACGUGAGAAGUAAGAAAUCGCAAGAUGAGCCCAAAUUGCCAUACAUUCGGAAAUCACGUCCCUAAGUCAACAACACAAGGGUCAAAGAAGAAAUCACGACAGGAGUUUAAGACUCCGGAGAACUGAGCAAGAAGGAGGAUACCUGCCGUCUGGGGCUGUGGGUCCGGGUGGGAGCAGGGCAGCCAGGGACGUGCCCAGCACCGCGUGCUUCCACGUGCAGAAAGACGGGCUCAAAGUUCAGAAGCCAAGAGUGGACUAAAGAGGUAGAUAAGAAGUAAAAACAAAGCCAAAUAGUGAACAGACACAGAUUUUAAAAACAAAAUUUUUCUAAACUUUAAAAUUUUCUAGAUAGAACUGUAGUUAUGCCUCCACAAAGCCGGGGGUGAGGGGAAGCGUAAGAAACAGAGCUGCAGUGGGAGAGCAAUAGAGCCGCAACUCUGCUCUUUAAAGAGAUGGGUGAGAUAGAAAAAAAACCUGUACAUGACUAAUCAAGAAAAAAAGGACAAAAAAAGAGAUCCUAACUGUAGAUCCAGCAGGUAAAAUGUAAGAUAAUAUAAUAAGUUUGAAAACUCAAAUAUACAUAAAUCUUGAAGUGUAUCAUUUUCGAAACCAAUAUGUGGGGGCGCCUGGGGGGCUCAGUUGGUUAAGCGUCUGCCUUCGGCUCAGGUCAUGAUCCCUGGGUCUUGGGAUCGAGUCCCGCAUCUGGCUCCCUGCUCAGCGGGGAGCCUGCUUCUCCCUCUCCCUCUGCUCCUCUCCCUGCUUGAGCUCUCUUGCUCUCUCUCUCUCAAAUAAAAUCUUAAAAAAAAAAGACA
rnacentral:lncRNA from 1 species